UACGGAGGGGGCUAGCGUUAUUCGGAAUUAUUGGGCGUAAAGGGCGCGUAGGCGGCUCGAUGUGUCCCAGGUGAAAUCCCUCGGCUCAACUGAGGAACUGCCUUGGAAACUGUCGAGCUUGAGGCCGGGAGGGGGUAGCGGAAUUCCCGGUGUAGCGGUGGAAUGCGUAGAGAUCGGGAAGAACAUCGGUGGCGAAGGCGGCCAGCUGGGCCAUUGCUGACGCUGAUGCGCGACAGCGUGGGGAGCAAACAGG
rnacentral:rRNA from 1 species